rnacentral:tRNA from 1 species
GCCAGAGUGGUGUAGUGGUUUGAGCAUUGGACUACAACUCUCAAGGCCAGGGUUCAAAUCCUUGCUUGGUCA